GACGUAGGGCGCGAGCGUUGUCCGGAUUUAUUGGGCGUAAAGAGCUCGUAGGCGGCUUGUCGCGUCGACCGUGAAAACUCGCAGCUCAACUGCGAGCCUGCGGUCGAUACGGGCAGGCUAGAGUUCGGUAGGGGAGACUGGAAUUCCUGGUGUAGCGGUGAAAUGCGCAGAUAUCAGGAGGAACACCGAUGGCGAAGGCAGGUCUCUGGGCCAUACUGACGUGAGGAGCGAAAGCGUGGGGAGCGAAACAGG
rnacentral:rRNA from 1 species